rnacentral:rRNA from 1 species
AAGUGGCGAACGGGUGAGUAACACGUUGGUGACCUGCCCCGAGAUGGGGGAUAACCGUGGGAAACCACGGCUAAUACCCCGGAUGUUAAGGAGUCUAGACGCCCUUAACUAAAACUCCGGUGUCUCGGGAGGGGCCUGCGGGCUAUCAGCUUGUUGGUGGGGUAAUGGCCUACCAAGGCUAAGACGGCUAGGGGGCGUAAGAGCGCGACCCCCCACAAUGGAACUGAGACACGGUCCAUACUCCUACGGGAGGCAGCAGUGAGGAAUAUUGCGCAAUGGGGGCAACCCUGACGCAGCAACGCCGCGUGAACGAUGAAGGCUUUCGGGUCGUAAAGUUCUUUUCUGAAGGAAGAUAAUGACGGUACUUCAGGAAUAAGUCCCGGCUAACUACGUGCCAGCAGCCGCGGUAAAACGUAGGGGGGGCGAGCGUUAUCCGGAUUUAUUGGGCGUAAAGCGCACGUAGGCGGCGCUGUAAGUUGGACGUGAAAGCUCUCGGCUUAACUGAGAGAGGUCGUUCAAAACUGCAGUGCUUGAGGUUGGAAGAGGAGAGUGGAAUUCCCGGUGUAGUGGUGGAAUGCGUAGAUAUCGGGAGGAACACCAGUGGCGAAAGCGACUCUCUGGUCCACACCUGACGCUGAGGUGCGAAAGCGUGGGUAGCGAACGGGAUUAGAUACCCCGGUAGUCCACGCCGUAAACGAUGGAUACUAGGUGUAGGAGGUUAUUUACCCCUUCUGUGCCGAAGCUAACGCGUUAAGUAUCCCGCCUGGGGACUACGGCCGCAAGGCUAAAACUCAAAGGAAUUGACGGGGGCCCGCACAAGCAGCGGAGCGUGUGGUUUAAUUCGAUGAUACGCGAAGAACCUUACCUGGGCUUGACAUGUUGGUACACGCCCCGUGAAAGCGGGGAAGCCUUCGAGGGUGCUGCACAGGUGCUGCAUGGCUGUCGUCAGUUCGUGCCGUGAGGUGUUGGGUUAAGUCCCGCAACGAACGCAACCCUUGUGUUUAGUUGCCACCGCAGGUGAUAAAUCUGCGAGCACUCUAGACAGACUGCCCGUACAAGCGGGAGGAAGGUGGGGAUGACGUCAAGUCAGUAUGGCCCUUACGCCCUGGGCUGCACACGUGCUACAAUGGUCGGUACAGAGGGAUGCAAGACCGCGAGGUGGAGCAAAUCCUUAAAGCUGGCCCCAGUUCGGAUUGGAGUCUGCAACUCGACUCCAUGAAGUUGGAUUCGCUAGUAACGGCGCAUCAGCUACGGCGCCGUGAAUACGUUCCCGGGCCUUGUACACACCGCCCGUCACAUCAUGAAAGCCGUCUGCACCCGAAGUCGCUGAGCCAACCCGUCAAGGGAGGCAGGUGCCGAAGGUGUGGGUGGUGAUUGGGAUGA